rnacentral:rRNA from 1 species
AUUGAACGCUGGCGGCAUGCUUUACACAUGCAAGUCGAACGGUAGAGGGGCAACCCUUGAGAGUGGCGAACGGGAGAGUAAUGCAUCGGAACGUGCCCAGUAGUGGGGGAUAGCCCGGCGAAAGCCGGAUUAAUACCGCAUGAGACCUGAGGGCGAAAGCGGGGGAUCGCAAGACCUCGCGCUAUUGGAGCGGCCGAUGUCAGAUUAGCUAGUUGGUGGGGUAAAGGCCUACCAAGGCGACGAUCUGUAGCUGGUCUGAGAGGACGGCCAGCCACACUGGGACUGAGACACGGCCCAGACUCCUACGGGAGGCAGCAGUGGGGAAUUUUGGACAAUGGGCGCAAGCCUGAUCCAGCCAUGCCGCGUGCGGGAAGAAGGCCUUCGGGUUGUAAACCGCUUUUGUCAGGGAAGAAAUCUUCUGGGCUAAUACCCUGGGAGGAUGACGGUACCUGAAGAAUAAGCACCGGCUAACUACGUGCCAGCCGCCGCAGUAACAC